GACGUUGCCGUGAGCACACAGUCAUCCCACUGAGACCCCGGUUGAAAGUUGAGAGAGAGAGAGAAAGAGUUGAGCCGCAUGAAUCUGCGAGCUCCUCAAGAUUCCUCCGAUUGGUUUUUUUGACGAGAGAGAGAUCAUCUGAACCUGACCCUGGCGGUCAGUGGCGAGCCAACCACAGAAUUGGACAGAGAACGGACCAAGAGCUCGGUGUGGCCAGCCGUGGCAUCCUUGGAACCAUCAUCAUCAUCACUCUCCUUCCUUGAGACACAGAUAAGAUAACAUGUAAACCUACCCGGGUAGUAGAAGAAUUACUUCACGACACUUCAAGAACACACACACACACACACAUCACAGAAUAGAGACAAUGAAUCAACUUCAUUUCCCUUUGUCCAGCAGAAUCUGACAGAAUUUUAUUUUUCAUUUUUUUAACUUUUAUUUUGGGGAUCCCUGUAAUGUGCGCCUGUGCACUUAGGAAGCCGGCUUAGAUAGGCAGGGAAUGUGAGUAAUUGUUUUUUUUAUAUAAUAUAUUUUCCAAACUCACCUGUUUGUGUGUCAUCUGUUCUCUGCUGACUUCUUUAGGCUCCGUAGUCGUGCUUACAGUCUUCUGACAUUAACCCAGCUUUAAUUAUACUUACCCAGAGAAACCCUGCUACAGAUACAUUUAGUAAAAAUGGGGAUUAUUAGCAGGAUUACAAUUUUAAAAUACAUUUUAAAAUAAAGAACGAUAUACUACCAUGCACAUGCGCACACAUUACAACACUUAACGAGUCUCACGACACCACUCUGGUCUGGAGUGAAACCACAGGCAAUCUUACAGUUGCCAAUUCAUUAUCA